UUGAAAGCAGCACACCGGAUUUGUAAGUAAAAUAUCUGCUGACACAUUGUUUUGGUCCCUGUACCAGCCAUAUAAAUAAUAUGUUUCAGAAAGAGUUUCAUGUCCUUUACAAAACAGUCACUAUUUCUAUUAAAUCGUUUUGAAUUAUUUGUACUUUUUAGGAGAUCGACAACAUCCCAGUCAUUCAGUGGACAAACCAAGAGUGCGUCAAGGCCCCAGCAGAUGACCACCUCAGUAGAUCAGCCCAGCACUUCAAGUGAAUUCUACAAUACAUACACAGAUAUAUAUGCACCUGUUGUAAUUGAGAGCGGUUCCUCAGAUUCUGGGGAAGAGGAGAAGUUCCAAGAGGAUCACAGGUACUAUCACAUAUAAGAAGUACUAUCAGCACAUAGUUGUUUACCUUAAGCCUUCCUUAUUUUUCUAA